GACGAACGCUGGCGGCGUGCUUAACACAUGCAAGUCGAACGGAAAGGCCCUGCUUUUGUGGGGUUCUCGAGUGGCGAACGGGUGAGUAACACGUGAGUAACCUGCCCUUGACUUUGGGAUAACUUCAGGAAACUGGGGCUAAUAUCGGAUAGGAGCUCCUGCUGCAUGGUGGGGGUUGGAAAGUUUCGGCGGUUGGGGAUGGACUCGCGGCUUAUGAGCUUGUUGGUGGGGUAGUGGCAGACCAAGGCUUUGACGGGUAGCCGGCAUGAGAGGGUGACCGGCCACCUGAGGACUAAGAUACGGAGCAGUCUCCUACGGGAGGCAGCGGGGGGAAAUCUGGCACAGUGGGCGCGAGCGUGUGACGGCAGCGCCGCGUGCGGGAUGACGGCCUUCGGGUUGUGAACAGCUUUCGCCUGUGACAAAGCGUGAGUGACGGUAAUGGGUAAAGAAGCACCGGCUAACUACGUG
rnacentral:rRNA from 1 species